rnacentral:rRNA from 1 species
CUGCCCAUCAGAAGGGGAUAACACUUGGAAACAGGUGCUAAUACCGUAUAACACUAUUUUCCGCAUGGAAGAAAGUUGAAAGGCGCUUUUGCGUCACUGAUGGAUGGACCCGCGGUGCAUUAGCUAGUUGGUGAGGUAACGGCUCACCAAGGCCACGAUGCAUAGCCGACCUGAGAGGGUGAUCGGCCACACUGGGACUGAGACACGGCCCAGACUCCUACGGGAGGCAGCAGUAGGGAAUCUUCGGCAAUGGACGAAAGUCUGACCGAGCAACGCCGCGUGAGUGAAGAAGGUUUUCGGAUCGUAAAACUCUGUUGUUAGAGAAGAACAAGGAUGAGAGUAAAAUGUUCAUCCCUUGACGGUAUCUAACCAGAAAGCCACGGCUAACUACGUGCCAGCAGCCGCGGUAAUACGUAGGUGGCAAGCGUUGUCCGGAUUUAUUGGGCGUAAAGCGAGCGCAGGCGGUUUCUUAAGUCUGAUGUGAAAGCCCCCGGCUCAACCGGGGAGGGUCAUUGGAAACUGGGAGACUUGAGUGCAGAAGAGGAGAGUGGAAUUCCAUGUGUAGCGGUGAAAUGCGUAGAUAUAUGGAGGAACACCAGUGGCGAAGGCGGCUCUCUGGUCUGUAACUGACGCUGAGGCUCGAAAGCGUGGGGAGCGAACAGGAUUAGAUACCCUGGUAGUCCACGCCGUAAAC